rnacentral:lncRNA from 1 species
AGUGGAGGCAAGAGUAUCUUGCUGGAGAUCCCUGCCUACUGAUGUCCUUCACAAGCAUGGAAGUCUGUGUAAUGUCAUGGAACUUAAGAUGUAUGAGGAGUUGCAUUACCUAAAAUCAGCUUUAUUUUACUCAGUGCCAGACCUCCCUGGAGUGAGGAUAUAUGAGGCUUUCUGAGAUUAGUCUGUCCGUCUGACCCUGGACCUGUGAUACGGAUCUCAUUUGUUAGUAACAGGAGCAUUUUAACUGUGUGCAGCUUGAGGGCAUUCCAAAUAGACUGAGAAAAUCUUGUCCCCCCUAGGCUAUUCAUUGCUACUUCUGGAUGGCUUCAGGGUCAGGAAAAUAAACCUGGAGAACCACAGGCCCUGGUCCCCUAACUGUCCAGAUGUAGAAUCUGAGUGGGCCAAGGUGCCCUCUGGCCUGUGUCUGAGCCCACUUUGCAUGGAAGCCAAUGCAAAGAGAGAAUUGUAUGCAUAUAAGUUUAGCCUUGGGGGAGCCUUGGCGUGCAGUUCAAUCCCAUGGGGAAGACAUAGCCUAAGCAGAGCCUUGUACCUCUCCACAUCCCCACUUUUAUUUUACAUAGUAUCUCUUGUUACCUUACUGGAGCGUGAACUCCUUUUAAAAUAAUUUACUAGGCUUCAGAAUUUAUUUAUAUUUUUAAAACAAACAAACAAAAACCCUCCUGUGAUCCUAGAUUUGGAUCUAGUUGUCUCUCUGGAGCCAUGAUAUUUUUUCUUCAGUUUACCUUUUCCUGUAAAGAAGAGGAUCUCACUAAAGGUUGUUCUUUGCAAGAGUGUAUUGUUUCCUUCUCAUUUAGUAUAACAUAAAAGAUCAUUCAUUUUCCUCUCUUGCCAUCCCAUAGCCAGAUCAGCUGGCCUUCUGCAAGGAUAAUCCUCCAUCAAACGUUCAGGAACAUUCAAUGCUUUGACUCUUGAACCACAGUGGUAAUUUCUUUCUAACUAAAGGAUGUGAACUUCCCUUGAAUCAAAAAUUCAACUUGGAACGUCAAGAGACUGAAGAAAUAUUGCAGUCAGAAAUUGAAGAUUUUUUUUUUCUCUCUGUCUUCCAGGAUAUUUUUUAACUUGAGGAAUUUGGGCAGUUUUCUGUGAUUCAUGGAAGCCAUUAUAAAAUGAGCUAGGUAUCUGGGAGCAGAAUUUCUUAGUAGGUCACUGUCUAUACAUGUUAUGGCCAUAUCAGUAGCAAUCUGUGUUGACCUCAGCUAUUGUGUCUGAUAUGCUAAUGAUCAAAACUGCUAGGAGCUUGUUUACAGAGACAGUCAUUGACAUCUCCUGUGGUACGCUAUUUCCCUACACUGUUUAAAUGGGGAUAUUCUGAACCUGGUGACAAUUGUACAUGUACUGUGGAAGAGGAGGGGUGGAAGCACUGAUUCAGAAAAUCGUAGUACAGUAUGCUUUUUAUGAACUCAGUAUACAGAUAGUACUAUCAUUAAUACAUGAAUCCUCAGUUUACUUCAUGAGUAAGCAAAAAAGAAAAGACAGAAAAUGGGGGGGAAAAAAAAAGACGCUCAACUUAGUUACCUAUUCUUAACUGCUGACAAAGUAUUGACCAAUAUUUGAAACAAGCUUAGUCAAAAUGAGCAAUAUGAAAAUGUAAAAAGUUAAUAACUUUUUAGCUGUUCAAAAUAUUUGUUUUUCUUAAAAGAAAGUAGGUUUUGCCAGUGAAAUUAUUUGUAAAUCAUUUUCCUAAUUAAGAGAGCAUGCUUGAUAUGAUCAAAUUGUGUAACUAGUUUCUACAUUUUGUACCCAUCUUUUGCGUUUGGAAAAUGGACAAAUUUAAAAAUUUUCAGAACUGAUAAAAGGAAAGACUCCUUCCACCACCACCACCCUACCCAUAUACAUUACUUCAUGAAAUUGCAGAGCUUGAAUUAAAAUAAGAUCUAUCCUAAUUCAAAGAUCCCCAUGAGAGGGCUCAUUAAAUGGAAAAUGUUGGAUCCAUUCCUCUGUUGAAGAUAAACAGGGAACAAAGAUCUUUAUAUAUUUAUUUUCUGAAUUGCAUACUUCACUUCACAAAGUGAAUCAAAGCUGGGCAGAAGAGUGGAGCAGCAUGAUAAUAAAGUGUUGG